UCCGGAUUUAUUGGGUUUAAAGGGUGCGUAGGCGGACUAUUAAGUCAGUGGUGAAAUCCUGCAGCUUAACUGCAGAACUGCCAUUGAUACUGCCAAUCUUGAGUACAUUUGACGAGGGCGGAAUGUGUCAUGUAGCGGUGAAAUGCUUAGAUAUGACACAGAACACCGAUUGCGAAGGCAGCGCUCGAAACUGCAACUGACGCUGAGGCACGAAAGCGUGGGUAUCAAACAGG
rnacentral:rRNA from 1 species